GACGAACGCUGGCGGCGUGCCUAACACAUGCAAGUCGAACGGAACUGUUUUGAAAGAUUUCUUCGGAAUGAAUUUGAUUUAGUUUAGUGGCGGACGGGUGAGUAACGCGUGAGUAACCUGCCUUCAAGAGGGGGAUAACAUUCUGAAAAGAAUGCUAAUACCGCAUGAUAUAUCGGAACCACAUGGUUUUGAUAUCAAAGAUUUUAUCGCUUGAAGAUGGACUCGCGUCCGAUUAGUUAGUUGGUGAGGUAACGGCUCACCAAGACCGCGAUCGGUAGCCGGACUGAGAGGUUGAACGGCCACAUUGGGACUGAGACACGGCCCAGACUCCUACGGGAGGCAGCAGUGGGGGAUAUUGCGCAAUGGGGGCAACCCUGACGCAGCAACGCCGCGUGAAGGAUGAAGGUUUUCGGAUUGUAAACUUCUUUUAUUAAGGACGAAAAAUGACGGUAC
rnacentral:rRNA from 1 species